GACGAACGCUGGCGGCGUGCUUAACACAUGCAAGUCGAACGGAAAGGCCCUUCGGGGUACUCGAGUGGCGAACGGGUGAGUAACACGUGGGUGAUCUUCCCUGCACUUUGGGAUAAGCCUGGGAAACUGGGUCUAAUACCGAAUAGGACCGCGCGCUUCAUGGUGUGUGGUGGAAAGCUUUGGCGGUGUGGGAUGGGCCCGCGGCCUAUCAGCUUGUUGGUGGGGUAAUGGCCUACCAAGGCGACGACGGGUAGCCGGCCUGAGAGGGUGACCGGCCACACUGGGACUGAGAUACGGCCCAGACUCCUACGGGAGGCAGCAGUGGGGAAUAUUGCACAAUGGGCGCAAGCCUGAUGCAGCGACGCCGCGUGAGGGAUGACGGCCUUCGGGUUGUAAACCUCUUUCACCAGGGACGAAGCGCAAGUGACGGUACCUGGAGAAGAAGCACCGGCCAACUACGUG
rnacentral:rRNA from 1 species